AAGGUGGGUCGCACGCUCGUUAAAGUCGGAUCAAGAAGUUUGUUAAGGAAACUACUAAGCUUUUGAGGUUGAGCGUGGAUGAGGGACGGAGGAUGUUGAGCAUUUGGACAAAGACAGUAUUCAAUAAAUGUUCCAGUUGUUAUUGUGUCUUCAUACAUAGUAGUAGCUAACUCUCGAUUGCUUCUGCUACUCUAAGUUUUAAAGACUCUUAUGUUUCCGUAAUCUGUUGGACUAUUUUCGUACAAACUUUGUUGCUAUCGUGUUUGCAGACUAUGAUUUGUAAUAAAGUUUCAUCUUUUGGAUC